GACGAACGCUGGCGGCGUGCUUAACACAUGCAAGUCGAACGGAAAGGCCCUGCUUUUGUGGGGUGCUCGAGUGGCGAACGGGUGAGUAACACGUGAGUAACCUGCCCUUGACUUUGGGAUAACUUCAGGAAACAGGGGCUAAUACCGGAUAGGAGCUCCUGCUGCAUGGUGGGGGUUGGAAAGUUUCGGCGGAUGGGGAUGGACUCGCGGCUUAUCAGCUUGUUGGUGGGGUAGUGGCUUACCAAGGCUUUGACGGGUAGCCGGCCUGGGAGGGUGACCGGCCACCUUGGGACUGAGAUACGGCCCAGACUCCUACGGGAGGCAGCAGUGGGGAAUAUUGCACAAUGGGCGGAAGCCUGAUGCAGCAACGCCGCGUGCGGGAUGACGGCCUUCGGGUUGUAAACCGCUUUCGCCUGUGACGAAGCGUGAGUGACGGUAAUGGGUAAAGAAGCACCGGCUAACUACGUG
rnacentral:rRNA from 1 species